UACGUAGGGUGCGAGCGUUGUCCGGAAUUAUUGGGCGUAAAGGGCUCGUAGGCGGUUUGUCGCGUCGGGAGUGAAAACCAGGUGCUUAACACCUGGCUUGCUUUCGAUACGGGCAGACUAGAGGUAUGCAGGGGAGAACGGAAUUCCUGGUGUAGCGGUGAAAUGCGCAGAUAUCAGGAGGAACACCGGUGGCGAAGGCGGUCCUCUGGGCAUGACCUGACGCUGAGGAGCGAAAGUGUGGGGAGCGAACAGG
rnacentral:rRNA from 1 species